GGUGGCGUUGAACAAAGCAACCGUAGCGCUACGCCAGGUGUAAGGCUAUGUUAUGAUAUGGGAGUUACGAUCACCUUAGCACUAAGAUAGCUUUGGGCAGUGCCACCAUGUUCGACAA